rnacentral:rRNA from 1 species
CCUAGGAAAUUGCCCUGAUGUGGGGGAUAACCAUUGGAAACGAUGGCUAAUACCGCAUGAUGCCUACGGGCCAAAGAGGGGGACCUUCGGGCCUCUCGCGUCAGGAUAUGCCUAGGUGGGAUUAGCUAGUUGGUGAGGUAAGGGCUCACCAAGGCGACGAUCCCUAGCUGGUCUGAGAGGAUGAUCAGCCACACUGGAACUGAGACACGGUCCAGACUCCUACGGGAGGCAGCAGUGGGGAAUAUUGCACAAUGGGCGCAAGCCUGAUGCAGCCAUGCCGCGUGUGUGAAGAAGGCCUUCGGGUUGUAAAGCACUUUCAGUCGUGAGGAAGGUGGUGUAGUUAAUAGCUGCAUUAUUUGACGUUAGCGACAGAAGAAGCACCGGCUAACUCCGUGCCAGCAGCCGCGGUAAUACGGAGGGUGCGAGCGUUAAUCGGAAUUACUGGGCGUAAAGCGCAUGCAGGUGGUUUGUUAAGUCAGAUGUGAAAGCCCGGGGCUCAACCUCGGAAUAGCAUUUGAAAC